rnacentral:lncRNA from 1 species
UUGGCCUUGUGUUUUGGACCCCAAAUCUGACCAGCUGAAAGUGAACAGAAGUGUUACUUGGGAUCAAACUGGCCAAACCGUAUACUCUCACUCAGUUUAUGGAUGAUUUGACGAGACGUAAAAACGUACAAAAGAGGACUACAAGUCAACAAUUUCCUCCCCUUCUUUGGUGAACAAAGUUAAUGUAGGAUAAAGAAGGCGUAACCUUACAGAAAAUGUCAAUAAUCUUCUUGAUGCUUUUUCUAAUUUCUGAUAAAAAGUUAAUAACCUUUUCCAUACAUAAUGUUAUCCAUCCAAACAACAGUGAAUAUGUGCUAUAUGAUGAGCGUACUGCACAUGCCGAUAUUUUUGAUAAUUGCCUCAAUCCAGUUCUUUCAUCAAAUACAAAUGUCUUCAUUUUGUUGAUGGGCCAUGGCAGAUGGCAUCCAGUAGAAUUUUAGUUUUGAGGCACUCAGAACUCCUAUUCUGGUGCUCAGUGAUAUUUAAGGGUGUCAUUUUAAGACUCUUUUGUCACCCAGUUAGGGUCUUUUGGGCUCUGAAUUGGUCUCUUAAGGUUGCAUUUACAGUCAGCUUCAUGCUAACUAAUAGGUAAGUGGAUUUAUCUUUUUGUUGGAGAAUCCUGUGAACCUGUUUUCCGUGCGCCUCUUUUUUCAUUCCAGGAAUUAAGAGUAAGUAUAACAUUUUCUUUUCCAUAUGAGGCCAGCAAAGUGAAGGUGUGAUUGACUUUCUGGUGCGAACUUUAUUUUCCAACUGAAAAUGUGUUUUCUGUCAUUUCUUGAGUAAAACAAACAGGCAUUGAAGGAGUCGCAGCUCCUUGAAGCGUCUGAGUGUGAGAAUAGAAGGUUUUGAGGCUCUGCAGCAUGUAUGAGCCAUCUGUUAGACAGUGAAUGUGUCUCUGCUUCCCUCACUGUGACAGCACUCUCUGUGAAUUACACUGUGACCACCAACUGUCUCUCAUACUGCAAACAGGGACGGCUCUGUGUACAGUAUGCUGAUGGUACACACAUUAUAGAGGUCAGCCUGUCGCUCAUAGACCGAGAAAGACAGAAAGAAAGAAAAGAGGAGAAAAAAAGAAAGAAAGAAAGCAGUGACUCUAUUCAUACUGUCACAUGAGUGUCUCCACUGUGGGUGUGGAUGCAGGUGUGUGUUUCGUCUUGUAGGCUGUGUUGUCUUUGUCUUUGUAUGAGACACUGAAUGAAGACAAAACACAUGCACACUCACAAAACCAGGCUGUGUUCACAAGUCUAAACUAGCAUGAAAGCAGUUUCUGUGUGUCUUGGUGAGAAAAAAAUAUAAGAUUUUUUUUUUAUUAUUAUUUAUGGUAAAAUUGGGAGCCAUCUAUGACUUAAAAUCAUUUUCUACAAAAAGCAAAGGAACAAAGUUAAAGUAAUAGGGUCAAUGAGGUAAAUAAUAUGAGUCAAUGGUAACAUUUAGCAAUAUCUAGUGAUCAGAGUCUAGACUGAAAAGCUCCCCACCAAGCAUUUAUUGGUCUAAAAGAGGUCUAAUAGAUGUCUAAAUGUAGCCUAGAUGACUAGUCUAAAAAAGUUUAGACUAGCCGGCUAACAGAGGUCUAACUGUAUAUCGCUCAACGGCAAUCAAAGUUAUUUUGGUUUAUUACUUGAAGAUCAGUUGUGCAACUCACAGUUGCUUUAUGAAAUAAAUAAUUUUUGAAUAAUGGGUUAAAGUGCAAUGUCAAAAUCCCAUCUAAAAUUAUACAGAAUCUAGACAAUUGAAAUUAGGUCUAAGUAAAAAAAUUGAAGUCUAAUAGCCAUCUAUUGCUCAGCGGGUCCCUUGCUGUUAGUAAAGUCUUGGUCAUUAUAAAAACUAUUUUAAAUAUCAGAACUGUGUUAUCAAAAUGCAUCUGCUUUGUGUUCAACUAUCACCAAGCUCCUCCUCCUUUUUAUGCUAUGUCUGAUUUACUUGUGUUAUAUAUGUAUUGUAUACCGCAUAAAGUUUUUUUUUUCUUUGUCAGUGGUCUUGACUGCACAAAAAAGAUCAAUGGAUCUAAAGAAUGACAUGUCUUAUUUUGAUUUAUCUACAACUUCUGACUUCUCAUAAACAAACCCACGCAUAAACACAUACUAAAUAGCCACAGACAGAAGAGGGGUGGAGUCUUAUUCUCUUACUUGAACAACACACAAAGACACAGACGGCACUAAUAGGAGUCUCUCUUCCACAGCAGCCUUUUAAAUACUGGACAGCAGUGAGACUGUGGGGUGACCCAAUCUUAUUCUGCUGGUACAACACACACACACACGCACGCAUGCACGCACGCACGCACGCACGCACGCACGCACACUUAAUCUGCACCCUCUAUAGUGUCUUUAAAUCUAAAGCUGUUUGUGUGUGUGUAUCAUAAUAAGAGCACAGUAAUGCAUGUGACCGCUUGCAGCUGAUCCUUGCAAUCUCAUUGCAAAUGGAAGAAUCAUAUUCCUGUAACAAAGCAGCUCUUGGUAACGAUUAUAUUUUAAGGUUGUGAGAGAAAUUUGACCACUUCUUGUAUAAUUUCCAUUAACAAUCAAUUCUCCAAACUUUGGAUACCAAUUUAAUGUUUUGUUAGCCCUCUUUCCUUUUUAUUGAGAAUUUCUGUAAAUGCAGCUUUCUCUGGUUUUUCUUUGUCUAGAAAAUAACACAGAUUUUAAAAAAUUAAACAGAUAAAUAAAAAAAUUUGAAAAAAGAUUCAUUUUAAAGAGUCAAGGAAAACAUCUCCAGAUUGCUUCAUCUAUCUAGAUAACGGCACAAAUAAAGUAAAAUAAACAAAAAAAACAAAAAAAAAAACGUUUUUAAAAAUCAUGUGAAUAUAUUUGAUGGGUUGGGUAUUACUGUAAAUGUUAAGCACUUCAUGUCAAAUUCGGCCUUAAGACCAGAAAGUUUACUAAAGCUCCCAUGAGGAACUUUUUGUUUAUGUUAAUUUUGGCGCCCCCCUGUGGACAAAGCAGUCUUUGCUUAUUUUGUCCUUUAAAUGCUGAGAAGUCGUGACUUUUGCUAAAAUUGUCAUUCUGCUGACUUUUGGCAGUCAAUUGUAUAAUUUUUUUGUGAAUAUUUUAAGAGGAGUUUUGAAAAAUGUCUUUUUCUUUAGCUGUUUGGCUGACAUUGACCCCUUGGACUAGUUUCAGGAAUUAAAAAUCAUGAUAUUUAAAUUGUCGGUCUAGUUCCUGAUGAUUCUGUUUUGCUUUCUGGAUGAAAAGUCAUCAAUAUGAAUUUUGGUCCAAUUCAUAAAUGUAAAAUAAACUUCUUUUUUUUUUCUUUUGACUUAAAUCACUCACAAGAAUGAUGUGAGUGUGCACAUGUAUGACAGUGGGGUUUGUGUGUUUUAGGGGUGACAGCAGUGUGUGUGCAGCACAAUGUUUGUACUGUGGGGGUAUACAGACAGAUGGCUGGGACACUUGUACGUCUGUGGUUGAACAGUCCACCCAUUGUCUGUGUCACAGAGAGAGAGGAUUGUUGUGGCGGCCGUCACACUGUAGUGUCUGUAAAUCUCACAUGUCCUAAACACCAAACCUCUCUCUGACCC